rnacentral:rRNA from 1 species
AGCAGCCGCGGUAAUUCCAGCUCCAAUAGCGUAUAUUAAAGUUGUUGUGGUUAAAAAGCUCGUAGUUGAACCUUGGGCCUGGCUGGCCGGUCCGCCUCACCGCGUGUACUGGUCCGGCCGGGCCUUUCCCUCUGUGGAACCCCAUGCCCUUCACUGGGUGUGGCGGGGAAACAGGACUUUUACUUUGAAAAAAUUAGAGUGCUCCAGGCAGGCCUAUGCUCGAAUACAUUAGCAUGGAAUAAUAGAAUAGGACGUGUGGUUCUAUUUUGUUGGUUUCUAGGACCGCCGUAAUGAUUAAUAGGGACAGUCGGGGGCAUCAGUAUUCAAUUGUCAGAGGUGAAAUUCUUGGAUUUAUUGAAGACUAACUACUGCGAAAGCAUUUGCCAAGGAUGUUUUCAUUAAUCAGGAACGAAAGUUAGGGGAUCGAAGACGAUCAGAUACCGUCGUAGUCUUAACCAUAAACUAUGCCGACUAGGGAUCGGACGAUGUUAUUUUUGACUCGUUCGGCACCUUACGAGGA